GAUGAACGCUGGCGGCGUGCCUAAUACAUGCAAGUCGAGCGAACGGACGAGAAGCUUGCUUCUCUGAUGUUAGCGGCGGACGGGUGAGUAACACGUGGAUAACCUACCUAUAAGACUGGGAUAACUUCGGGAAACCGGAGCUAAUACCGGAUAAUAUUUUGAACCGCAUGGUUCAAAAGUGAAAGACGGUCUUGGUGUCACUUAUAGAUGGAUCCGCGCUGCAUUAGCUAGUUGGUAAGGUAACGGCUUACCAAGGCAACGAUGCAUAGCCGACCUACGAGGGUGAUCGGCCACACUGGAACGGAGACACGGACCAUGCUCCUACGGGAGGCAGCAGUAGGGAAUCUUCCGCAGUGGGCGAAAGCCUGACGGAGCAACGCCGCGUGAGUGAUGAAGGUCUUCGGAGCGUAAAACUCUGUUAUUAGGGAAGAACAUAUGUGUAAGUAACUGUGCACAUCUUGACGGUACCUAAUCAGAAAGCCACGGCUAACUACGUG
rnacentral:rRNA from 1 species